UAUGGGGGUGGGGAAGAGGGUCUAGUGCAGGAGGCCUCUGCGGUGGGAUCCCUGCGUCAAAAAAGUGGAGGAGCUCUUGGGUUAGCCAGAGGUGAAGGUGAAGAUCAUUAGAGGGUGUUUUUUAAGGGUUGGAUGGCUGUGGCUCUUUUGGCUGGCUUUGGGUGAUCGUGCCCAGAGGGCGGAGUUGCUGCGAUUUCCUACCUCUCAGCGGAGAACCUGCCCUCUCGACUCCACGGCAGAAGGACGGGACCUUCUGAGAGGGAAAACAGCUGGACGAAGGAUCUCAGCGAGCCAUCCUGGCAGCAGAAGCAGGAGCAGCAGGACCUUUGACAACUGGCGAGGAGAAGGAAGACUUUGCCUGCUUUUCAAAGGGGGAGACUCGAGCGACAAAGAGCCAAGGUGACGAAAAGCCAAGACGAUUGCGCCGCUGAGAGAGCCUUUGUUUGCCUUUUGAAGCGGGUGGGAAGAAUUACCUGCGGCGGAAAGGAAAAAGGAGCCCAAGGAAUCCGACCGUGUUGGUCGCCGCCGCCGCCUUCUUCCUUCCGCCCUUCUCGAAUUGGUAACGCGGAGGAAGAAGCGACCGUGUUGAUGAGCAAAAAGACUGAUGAUGAGCCCAAAGCGGAGGGACUGUCGGUGGGAAGGAAAAACGGAACGAAAUGAAUGUCUUUAGCACGAGAGGGCAGAAAAAAACAGAAUUAUUCAGAAGAGCGGGAAAGGCACCCAACGGCAAAAAAACAACAAACACAACGGACACAAUUUCUCCUGUUAGGAUUAGCGUGGAAGAAUCUUGAGAGCGAAUAUAAAUGAAAACAUACAAACA